rnacentral:rRNA from 1 species
GACGAACGCUGGCGGCGUGCUUAACACAUGCAAGUCGAACGAAGUGGCGAACGGGUGAGUAACGCGUAAUCAACCUGCCCUUCAGAGGGGGACAACAGUUGGAAACGACUGCUAAUACCGCAUAUUAUUCGAGCGGCCGAUGUCUGAUUAGCUGGUUGGCGGGGUAAAGGCCCACCAAGGCGACGAUCAGUAGCGGGUCUGGGAGGAUGAUCCGCCACACUGGGACUGAGACACGGCCCAGACUCCUACGGGAGGCAGCAGUGGGGAAUCUUCCGCAAUGGACGAAAGUCUGACGGAGCAACGCCGCGUGAGUGAUGACGGCCUUCGGGUUGUAAAGCUCUGUUAAUCGGGACGCGGUACCGGAAUAGAAAGCCACGGCUAACUACGUGCCAGCAGCCGCGGUAAUUC